rnacentral:SRP_RNA from 1 species
GCCAGGCGCGGUGGCGCAUGCCUGUAGUCCCAGUUACUUGGGAGGCUGAGGCUGGAGGAUCGCUUGAGCCCAGGAGUUCUGGGCUGUAGUUCGCUAUGCUGAUCUGGUGUCCACAUUAAGUUCGACAUCAAUAUGGUGACCUCCCGGGAGCGGAGGACCACCAGGUUGCCUAAGGAGGGGUAAAUUGGCCCAGGUCAGAAACAGAGCAGGUCAAAACUCCCGUGCUGAUCAGUAGUGGGAUCAUGCCUGUGAAUAGCCACUGCACUCCAGCCUAGGCAACAUAGCGAGACCCCAUCUCCU